CCUACGGGGGGCAGCAGUGGGGAAUAUUGGACAAUGGGCGAAAGCCUGAUCCAGCCAUGCCGCGUGUGUGAAGAAGGCCUUCGGGUUGUAAAGCACUUUCAGUGGGGAAGAAAGCCUUGGGGCUAAUACCCUCGAGGAAGGACAUCACCCACAGAAGAAGCACCGGCUAACUCCGUGCCAGCAGCCGCGGUAAUACGGAGGGUGCGAGCGUUAAUCGGAAUUACUGGGCGUAAAGCGCGCGUAGGCGGUCUGAUAAGCCGGUUGUGAAAGCCCCGGGCUCAACCUGGGAACGGCAUCCGGAACUGUCAGGCUAGAGUGCAGGAGAGGAAGGUAGAAAUCCCGGUGUAGCGGUGAAAUGCGUAGAGAUCGGGAGGAAUACCAGUGGCGAAGGCGGCCUUCUGGACUGACACUGACGCUGAGGUGCGAAAGCGUGGGUAGCAAACAGGAUUAGAUACCCAGUAGUC
rnacentral:rRNA from 1 species